rnacentral:tmRNA from 1 species
GGGGGUGCACUGGUUUCGACGGGGGUCACGUAUGUCGGGGCAGCCAUCCGUAGUACGCCGGAGUCUACGUUAAAAGCUGGCAUUUAAAUUAAACGCAGAUAAUAAUUUUGCAUUAGCAGCUUAAUGCUGCUAGUCUCCUCUAGGUCUCCCGCAGCCUAGAACGAGACUCCGACUCAGCGGGCCACGUCUAGGGCUAAGCUUUGCCCCCUAGCCGUACUUAUGAAGCUACUGAAGUGAACAGCCUGUCUUUGGGCGGUUCAUAGAGGGAAUGUCAAAACAAAGACUAUGAUGGUAGAGACCACAAUAUACGGGCUUUCGGACAGGGGUUCGAUUCCCCUCACCUCCA